rnacentral:rRNA from 1 species
GUGGAUUAGAUACCCUGGUAGUCCACGCCCUAAACGAUGCGAACUAGGUGUUGGGGAAGGAGACUUCCUUAGUACCGCAGCUAACGCGUGAAGUUCGCCGCCUGGGGAGUACGGUCGCAAGAUUAAAACUCAAAGGAAUUGACGGGGACCCGCACAAGCGGUGGAUGAUGUGGAUUAAUUCGAUGCAACGCGAAAAACCUUACCUACCCUUGACAUGUCAGGAACUUUCCAGAGAUGGAUUGGUGCUCGAAAGAGAACCUGAACACAGGUGCUGCACGGCCGUCGCCAACU